GGCCAAAUCUAAAUCUAAGACAAACCCAAUUUCACCUUGCCGUGAACACCCUACCGGCUAUCCCCUCUCUUUCUCAGAACAACCCUAGCUAAAUAUCCCUCUCUCUCAGUUUCAGCGCCGCCAGCAGCAGCAGCGGCGGCGUCGCCUUCUCUGUCCUCUUGUCGCCAGGUCUGCUCGGAGCUGCUGUUGGCGUUGCCGUCUCUGUCCUUGUCGUGUCGUCAAGCCUACUUGUCUUCGUCGUCGUCGGUGGCCAUGAACUCGUUUCUGUCCUCGUCGUCUUCGCUCGUCUCUGUCUUCGAUCCCUCUCUCUGUCUCUCUGUGUCGACCUCAAGGCAAAGUGCGAAAGUCCCUCUCUGCCUCCGUGGCCGUCUCUCUCUGCCGCCGUGAAAAAUUAUAGAGUUUGAUUAUGUUCGAUUGGCGUGUCUUGAUCACAAAUUCAUAGGAAGACUUAGUUUGGUUUGCUAAAGUUUUUUGAAGAGGUGUUUGUCUUUUGUGGUAAGCUGGUUGUGCAUGAAGAGGUGAACAGAACAAAAAGCAGAGUAUAAAAAUGAUUUUUUAGUUAUUAGCACUAAAAGCUGAAACAGUUUCAAAUAGGUUGAAAAAAGCAAUCAUAUCAAGCCAUUUUGUUAAUAAUCCUAAAAGUAGAGCCUGCAUGCAUGCAUGCAUAAUCUAUUAUCAUUGCAUAUGUAUCAUUGCAUAUGUAUCUUUUAUUUUUUUUUUUCACGUCAAUGGUAAGAUCA